GCAAGAGUGUGUGGAGCAGUUCGUCGUCAGUUUCCCCCGGUUCACCGUCUCUCCACCCGUUUACAGGAACGUUACUGAUGUAAAUGCGUUAUGAAUGCCCAUCGACCCAGCCAUUGAGAAAGAUCACCAACUGCAAGAGCGACACCAGAGAGCCCACUGUCUUCAUCAAGAGACAUCAAGUGCUGGCAGGACAAAUCUCGAGGAGCCACACGAGAGCAAAGCUGUAGGAGAUAAAGAUUUUGAAUAUGUCCUCGCUACAUCUGAUAGAUAUUACCUGUGAGGGGCAGAGCAUCUCCUGGAGGUUCAACGCACACGGUUUUGCCGUGGAGUGUCUGUUCAGGGCCAAGUUGAGUGUGACCACAAGACUGAUGGGUCCUGUGAUGUGUGCUACCUUUGUUUCUAUGUCCUUUCCUGUCUUUUGAUACAGAUUGUGUCAAUUGAUCAUGAAACUCCAUUUGGAAAUGUGUAAUUUGUCUUAAACACUGCUGUUAACGGUUUGUUUGUUCACCACAGGGUGGCUGUGGGUAACUGUGACGUCACCACUUUGGUGUGAGCGCCAUCCUUGGGCCACGCUAGUUCAGUUCAUCCUUCAGUCCGUGAGGAGGAACCCAAGAGACACAUGGAAAAAUUGUGCAUCUGACUUGGUGGAAAUAAAAACAUAGAGUAUUUUAGAAGAUUUUUCACUGCGUGUGAGAUCGUUGCUUACUUUCUUGUUAUACCAAAGAACAUUAUACAAAAGAAGACGACAGUUCAGAUUUAUUUGGAAUGAAAUAUAGUCUAAUCAAUAUUUUUGUUAUUUGUGUUACUUUUGAAAUGAAAUGGUAUCUUUAAAGCCAACUA